GAAGCCCAGGAAUUUCCUCAUAACCAGCAGUCACUUGAACUCCUCAGUAAAACGUGCCAUUGCUGUGAUCUCUGAAGGUACCUAGUUGAGCACAAUUGUAUUGGAUGAGAGAACAAUGCCCUACAAAUAGAAUAUCCAACUGAUGUCUUAAAGAUGUGCCAAGAAGGCUGUCUCACCAUCACGGAAAAACGUGAGCUCCGUCUUCUUUUACCCACUGAAUGAUGGAUUAUUCUACACGUCCUCCAGCAGCCCUUCAAGACCUAACACCGCAUAAUCUCUGAAUUUAAGAAAAUCAGAUCUUUGAGAGUCCAGCAGAAUAUAGUCACCUAAGUCCAUUUUUUAUGAUGGACAAAAUUUUCAGAUUGUUUGAGAGAGUCAUGGCUAAUAAGUUUGCAAAGAACCUUCAAUAAAAAAACCCACAAAGAUGAUGCUUUGAGGGGA
rnacentral:lncRNA from 1 species